rnacentral:siRNA from 1 species
ACACAAGCAUGCCCAUGAGGA